AAGUUUGUCAUCUAAGUUCUAACCUGAAAAAAUAACUAAAGUGGAAUUUGGAUUUUUGGGCCGUGAAAUCGCGAAUUCUUUGUGAUCUGUGAAACGUCUGCGGUGAAUUUGUUUUUUAGUGGAUAUUGCGAAAUAGCCGGUGGUAAUGUUAAGGAUUCCUUUCUGCAACUAAUUAUAAGGUCUCUUAUCUUCAGUCACUUUAUCGAAACAGUCAUAUUUUUCCCUCCCAGAUUAACCUUGUGGUAUUUUUGUAAUCAAUAUUCAGGUUACCUCAAAGCAAUGGUUCGACACGGUCCAAAAGUGCUUGUCAUGUGUGGACCCUCUGGCAGUGGAAAGUCAACUCUGCUGCGGCGGCUUUUCGAUGACUACCCUGACAAAUUUGGGUUUUCUGUUUCACAUACCAGCCGCAGCCCAAGACCCGGUGAAAUAGAUGGUAAACAUUAUCAUUUUACAGACCGAAAGGAGAUGGAAAACGCUAUAGCGAGAGGAGAGUUUCUUGAAUCUGCUGUGUUCUCCAACAAUCUGUAUGGGACAAGUUUAGCAGCUGUUGAAAGUGUCUGGAAAAGUGGCAAGAUUUGCGUGCUUGACAUCGACAUGCAGGGUGUUAAACAAGUAAAGCAACGCAGUAAUAUGAUGGAUCCUAUUCUUGUAUUCAUAAAACCGCCGUCACUGAAAGAACUCGAAGACCGCCUCCGUAAGCGAGGGACAGAAACUGAGGACAGCCUCCAAAGACGAUUAGCUGUUGCACAGGAAGAAAUUGAAUAUGGAGAUACUCCAGGCAACUUUCACUUGGUGAUCAUCAAUGAUAAUCUGGAGAAAUCGUAUGCCAAGCUAAGAGACUUUGUCCUUGCUGAACUCGUAAAAAAUGGUGUAGAUUCUGGAGAAUAAUUCCUCGUCCCAGCACCCUGCACAAGAAUUUUGCAGUCAUUCCAUGUCCUCCCGGUAAAUUUGUAUUGAAAUUAUGUUGAGUCAUUUUGCAAUCCACUUAUUCUACCUGAAGGCUUUUCACCAGAAGCAGGGUACCACUUUUCCUGUUACUCGUAACUUAAUCAACCUUUCAAGCUCCUCAGGCAGGCACACUCUUUGUCUUUGGUUCAUUCUUUAUCUAAGUGCCCGUUCAAUCAAUCUGCUCUUAUUGUGACAACUGCUGAUGAACUUACUUUUGCUUCUUCAGUUUAAGCACUCACUCCAAGAAUAAAUCAAGAAAAUAUUGGGUAAAACUGUUUCCUCUCCUGUGGUUUAUGUUACUUGCGAGCAGUGCAGUUCAACUCCUGAUUUUUUGAAAUUGAUAAAUUGUUACAUCUCUUUAUACAUCUCUCUCUUACACAACAGCGUUUAAUCUUCUGCUUGAAUUUCAAAGGAAAGAAUUGGUCAGCUUUUUAAUUGAGGAAGUUCAUAGGGUAGUUAUGGCAGGUUUUCCCCUGGUUUGAUCUCAGAAGUUUCAUUUCGUAAAUAUACAGUUCCGAAGUAUUCUAGUUAAUCAACUGAACAAUGGUUUAUGGACUGCUUUAUUGACUGAAGGCAAAGUGAUCGAAUGAGGCAUGCUGCUCUGUUUUUACCUGGAAAUUUUUUCACCGUAUUUGCUUUACGGUUUAUUCCACCAGGAUUAUCCUAAAAAAUGGGUGCAAAAAAAUUAUUCUCUCCUCAAUUUCACCAGAUGCGUUAAAAAAUAUCCUAAAUUCUCCACAUUUUCAGAGACGCAUCCAGAAAGAUCGAAGCCGUCUCCAAUUGAAUGUUACUAUUAAACGCAAAUUCACAAAUCGUCUUCUCCUGCAGGGAAAAUGUUUUCCUGUGCUGUUUCAGCAUUUUUGCGAACAUUUUAUCUUCUCAUGAUAGAACUGUCAAACAAAUUAUGUAGUCUGAAAAUUUCAGAGUUUUUUUUCUCACAAUAGUGAAGAAAGAUCCUUAGAAUUUGCAGGAAAAUUUACUUGAUCGUUCUCCUAUGACUAAUUAAAAUGUAAGUAAGCAUUAUUGAAACAGCGCAAUCGAGAAACUGUCCUUCGUAUAGGAUCCGACAAAAUGUUUCGACUUCCAGCAUUUAAAACAGAUCUGCCAAAAUUAGGAGCCUGCCAUGCUAUACUGUCAGCUCACUUCUUCUAAUGUAGAUUUUCAUGAUGAGAUUGAAAAUCAAGUAUCAGAUGACACUUAUGUCGUUCAAUGUUUUGCUAUUUUUUUCCUUUUCAAGUUAAAUUAUUCAAUUUUUUUUUAUUUUCCCCCACUCUUCUCCUCAAACUGCAGUUUUGCCCAAAUGUAAGGCUGAGAUUAUGCCUGAGAUAAAGGUUAGUGCUGUAAGAGUUAAAAUUUUCUGAGCAUUCUACGUUAAGGGCCAUUUUUUGUCUCCUACAGUGUGUGUUACCAGGAGCUUCCCCUCUCAAAUCAAGAUAAUCAAUCAGUUAUCGGUGCAUUUAAUGUACAUUUAAUUUUUAAUGUUAGCAUCACUAAUUAUUGCGAACACUGAGCAUUAAAAUGCCAGUUCACCUGUAUGUCUUUGAUCUUUUAUUGUUACUAUACUUAGUUCACGUAAGUGACUAUUUUUGUGUCUCACCGUUGCAUUUUCCCUUGUUGUGAAUUUGUUCUUUUUCUGCUCUUACCCUGUUGAACUUAGUCUCAAAUUUUAGCCCGUGAGUUUUUUUGAAAGUCUAUCACAUAGAUAAGUGAAUUCUCGUAGAAAGUUCAAUUUUUCUAUGAUUUAUUCUAUUACACUGUACUAUAUUUCACUUCACAAUGGUGUGAGGUUUUGUUGCUAGAUUUGCCAUCAGCCUCGGUAAUCUAUGUCUUAAGAUAACUUAUUUAAUUUAGUUCAACUAAGGUUUGGUCUUUUCGAGAACUGGCAGCUUCCUAAUUUUCUCUGUCUUUGUUGAUCUUAUUCACAUUAAAUAAAGAAGAUUUGUGGUCUCAUUUUGAGGAAAAGUCCAAUGGAAAAAAAUCAAAAACUCAUCACGCACUCAUAUUUGCUGUAGAUUUUUCUUUCAUUUUGGCAGGGGAGUCCAUUAGAUGGAGGAAGCCCUAAGAUACUGUUGCAAAGAUUUUAUUUUUCUGCAGAAAGGAUAUUUAUCAUCAGUACUCACUUUAUAUUAUUCUCUAUGUACGAAAAGUCAAGAUUUCACGUUUUCAAUUAGUGCUAGCGCAUUGUCAAAUUUCAUCUCAACUCCAUUGUCAUUUAACAUUUUAAUGCACCACCUUUUAAAAGUAGGCAGUGUCUGUUUCUGUGCAUAGGGAAUGUGUACUCUGAGUACAUCUUUUUCUAAGAAUUAUAAAAAAACAAAGAUUAGUUUGCCAACUUGAUUGCACUGUAAUUCAUAUCAUUAUUUACCUUUUUUUUUCGUUUUGUUUUCGAGCUCUGUUAUUCUAAUUUUAUUGCUAAGCAGGUAUCAAAGUUAUUUGUUUUGCAUCUUUUGGGUUCCAGUAAUCUCAUGUCUAACUGAAACUGUUACAAUCUUCAUAUGGGCUCAGAGAGUAUCAGCUUUUAUAGGUUAUCGUUUACUAUCAUUUCUCCUAAAUACAAUUUUUGGAUGAGGCAUCUCUCCAAACCUUUUUUUUUUUUUAGGGCUUGUAAGAUUUAAUUUUUCUUUAUUUAUUAUUUAUUUAUGUUUUAUUAUUUGUUUUUUCUGUUCGCCAUUGUAUAAAUCUUAUUUGACUUAUUUACUUAAUAAUAUAUAUUAAUUUUCCUUAGUGAAUUUUCUCAAAAACGAAUGAAUUUUUAGUUACUUUUCUCAAGUUACUAUAUUUUAGAAAAUUAAAUUACGUUUUUUAUCAUUUGUAGUCAUAAUUCUUGAUUUCUUACUCUGACCAAUACCAAUCUGUAGGUACGAAUAGCACCAUGAAACAAUCUUAAACCAAUCGUAAAGUCCUUUUUUGUCUAUAGUUUAGUUUUUACAUUUACGCUCCUAUUUGACUUUGAUUUAUUUUAUCUUUUUUCACUCUAAUCUACUUUUCACUGUAGCAAUUGUUUCUGCAGUUGUAUCUCGAUAUAAAGUUUCCUAAAAUAACGUUUUCCUAGGAACAAGGCUCAUUUUAUCAGGUCCCGGUCAGUCACCUCUAAUUUUAGUGUUUCUCAGAAUAACGUUUUUUGGGAAACGUUUUACUUUACUUUUCCUCUGAAAACGUUAUAACAAGAUAUGAUUGUAUCUUGUUCUGUCGAAUUGUUUGUACCCAACAUUAUUUUAUGUAUUUUUCAUUUAGAUUUUAAUUUUAUAAUUUAUCUAUUCUCUCGUCUCAUUCAUAUUUUAUCAGUGGAAUUACCAUAUUCCUCAUUUACUUGAUACCUUCUGUUUCACUUGGCCUCAUUCUAUUUUUUUCCUUUGUGUUCUGAUUUGAGCACUUUCUUUUGAAACUUGUAGUGCCUCCCAGCUAUGCAGCGAUGACUUCCCUGAAACUUGUACUUAAGUUUUGGAAACUACCCUUGUUGGCUACUCAUGUCCUAUGAUCAAAAGUUAAAACGAUUCUCUAUAUUUGAACUACACUAAAAAUUACCAACAUCCUUUUAAUUAAGUGGUAUUUGUGAAUUGUAUGUUAUCUUAUUAUGUAGUUAGCAACUGACACCAUUAACACAAGCAACUGAUGCAAAAUAUGGUUAGCGGUCAGUUCUCAUAAACCUUAAAUAAAAUAUUCAAUCACCUACUCAUUCGGUUCUGUUUUCCUCUGCUGGAUGUUUCAAGCUUCAUAGUGAAGGGCAUUUUCAUUUUGGUCGUAUUACAAUGAAUUUUUAAAUUUUUCUCAAAUUUAGUUAAAUUUUAGAGGAGAUGGUGGUGAAUUCAGCUGUAUGUCAUCCUUAGAAAUAGAGCUGUGCUCUCUGUUGAGUUGCCUGAAUGAAAAAUUAAGGCAAAUGGUCACAUACUUGCAGCUUUUUUUUUUAAAUUUUUUGAAAAUUUUGGUUUAAUUGAGCUUCUGAAAGUUAUAGAGUGUAAAUUUUAAAGUAAUUUAUUUUUAUCAAUUUGGGAGAUUGAGAAAAGUAUCUAUUUUGUUAACGUUACAAGAGAAUUGUUUGUAAAAAGUCGGAACGGAAAAAGGCAUGAAUUUAGAUUGUAGUUGAAGUUAAUUUAAUUUAUUUUCUUACUUGAUUCUUACUUGUCGCGUUUAUUGAUUUAAAGAUGUACCCUUUUUGUAUCCUCUCAGUGUCAACUUACCCAUCGAUUUCAGUUCAGCUUCUUCAUUUUUGUCGGAAUCAUCGUAUCUGGUCUGAUCGAUUUUGGUCUGGUCUGUGAGAUGAUAUCAAUUUUCCUGAGGUAGGUUGAAAAUAUUAAAACGCUGUGAUUUUCAGGGAAUAAACAUGUUAAUUUUCCCAUUGUUGAAAAAUAACUAGGGUUCAGCGUCAUUAACAACCCCCGAUUGUUAUUAAAUCAAUUCAAAAUUUAUCAAUUUCGUGGUGCAGGACUGGCACUCAGUCUUUGUCAGUCAGAAAACUAGUAUAUAUAUGUACAGUGAUUAUUUUAUUUUAAGAAAAAGGGAAAAGGAAACGGAGGCACUUUGUCAAUUCACAGAGGUUUUUCUCCGCUUAAUGCAAAGAAAAAUGUAGAUUUUUUGUAUGAUUGUGGUAUGGGCAAAAGACUAUUCUUCCGAGCCUCUUGUAUUUCAUUAUGUUACAUCGACACUGAAUUAUGUUGACCCUUUUAUCUUGCGAUUGUUGUCCAGAGAUUCAAUUCUUUUUUAAUUGAUUGUUUUCGUCCUCAGUAUAUUAUUUAGUACUUAAAAGGACACUAAAAAUAAGAAAGUAGAGAGUAAGCGAAUGAAAAUGCCAGUGAUGUAUAAAAAAAUUAGCGGCAAAUUCUUUGACAACUGUGUGAUUGUUGGCCAUAGCGGCACUCUUUUUUAAGGCUUAGAAAUGGUACAACAUCCCAAAGAUUUGCCUUCAAACAUGUCAAGCUUUCUCCUCUUAUUCUGAAUGUCUUGUAUCUUCAAGCUUUCACUAAUCAUUGUGUACUGAAGUCUUUCAGUUGAAUCUUAUUACUCAUUAUUGUUGGCUUAUGUUUCUAACUAUUGUUGAAGUUGUCAUGUUAAUAUCUUACAGCAGCAAUAAUAUUGUACCCGUAGAUAAGUGCAUUUUCUUGCAAAGCGUAAUUUAAUUUAUUUGUUUAUUUGUUAUGGAAAAUGAUCUUUUUCCUCCAAGUGUUUUGAGCUUUUUACAUGAAUCCAAUAAAAUUCUGCCACACUUUGCUGUUAAAGUUAAAAAAAGCGCAUUCCUCAAUUGUCAGUCAAUUUGAGGGAAGGAAAAAACGGUUAAAAAUAAGGAGGAACUUUGCUCGUUGUGAUUCAGUUUCCUGGGUUUUGUGUCAAAAGUAAUCGAAACAUUUGGAUUGAAAUAAAAUACUUUUACGUUUAUAAAUAUUCUUUUACUUAUGCAGGAUAGAUAAAAAUCACGUUACUAGGUAAAAUUAGAAGGAGAAAAUAAUUUUCAAGUGUUCAGUCCUCAGGUUUCAUCUGUGUAUUCAUUUUUUCCAUUAGUAUUUCCAUCAGAUUUUGUUUGCGCAAUUUCUGACUCCUGUUUUCACACUCAGAAGGCAGAUUAGUUCUCCCCCACGGACCCCUUGACUGGAGUGCAUUUAUAACGUCGGAAAUUUAACUUGUAAUUAUUGAUGCAUUUUGUGAAAUUUAUUUCCCUAGUUUACUUCAAUCCUCCAACCAAAAUAAUCCUAUUGAGUGGUUGUUGUUUCUUAUAAUUGUCUCAAAUCAUCUUUUUUUUUUUAAGUAGCAAUGUUAUCCUCCUUAUUUUUCUGUCUAAGUAUACAUACUAUUGUGCCAGAUUCUUCUAGACCAACAGUUUUAAGUAGAGCCAAUGUGCCCUUUACUUUGAGACAUGCACUGGAAACUAAUAGGAAGGGAUAAUGGUUGCACACUCAUUAACAGCACUAAAAUCGAGACAUUUAAUAUCAAACAAUGGGCCGUUUUGUAUGAAUAUCACAUAAAAUGACUUUUACUUUUUGAAAAGAAAAGAAAAUCCAAGCCCUUCUCUGAAGUUGUUUUUAGGGCCGUCUGACUUUUGAAAUGUCAUUCCACGACAAAAUAAUGGAGAGCUGAGAUCAAAAUUCUUCCUCAAAUCUUUCCAUCCACAUAGGGGCAUAUGUUCCGCAAAUUUUGUGGUUAGAAAGCUUCCUCAAUUAUACAUGAAGGUGAGGAAAAAAUUUAGUUAAUCUAAUAUUAUUACAAAUAUUCUGGUUAAGAAUUUGCCUCUAUUAGAAUUUUGGUGGUUGCGGACUGAUAUUUCUAUUCCUAUCGAUUCUGGCCAUUUUUACAUUAAAAAAGUGGGUGGAAACGUAUUUGAGUAAAUUGUCUAUACACUAAUCUCCUAUUUUGAAGUGUUGCCUAUUCAAUCCUGUGAGUUACUUAGUACUUAAUUUCAGUGAAGGGCAAGAAUUAAUUUAAGCUCUAAUCAAUCUUUAAAGAUUUUGCUAUAUCUGUGUUAGCUUAGUUAUUACCUAAAUAAGUAAAGGCUAAUAACCUCAAUUGUUUGUUUACACAGAGUAUAAUUCUUGAACUAUCGAAGCUAAAAUCUACUUUAUGCUAUUUGUUUCUAUCAUCGAUCCCUUCUUUCAACCAGUUGUAAGUUAAUCUGUUUCACUUGGCGUUGAGAAUAUCAAUAUGAUAUUUUUUGUUCAAGUUCCUCCUCGGUGAUUGUAAGUAAAGUAAUGCCCUGAUUAUCCUACCAUCAAUUAUCUAAAGCUUCAGUCAUCUAGAGUAGUCAAAAUUAAGUUUUUGGUCAUGUCCUCAGUCUUUUUUUGAUGGUUUCGAUUAUUUGACUUUUUUGAUAUCUGACAUGGCCUUCUCCACUAAUCGUUGGAUACUCGGGGCACUACUGCACUAAAUUUCUUUUAAAUGUGUAAUAAUUUAAUAGCUAUACAAGGCAUUAAUACAUUUAUCAUUUUAAGAACGUGCCUGUCAAAUAGAUGUGGAUUUGAAUUUUUUGGUCAAAAAGUUAAUGUUUAAUUGGGUCACAUUAAAACAUUGCCUUUUAAAAAUUUCUCCGUUUCAAUCACGUGAAGUUACUCCUAGACUGGCUAUUUCUUCUUUAAGCUACUAUGUUUUGCAAGAUAGUAAUAGCAUGUGCUGUGCCAAAUUUAAAGGAUCAAAUCCACAUCUGUUCAAGAGGCAUGAAUGGUUUUCAUUUUAUGGAGGAGAAUUUUUUUUCUGACUCCAUGUUAAAUUACAUUCGUUUUGAGCGAAAAGCUAAUGCUACAAAACUGGCUUGUAUCCUUUUAAAUUCAUCCUCUUUUUUUCGCAGAUCAUUGAUAAGAAAAUUCAGGAAAUAUGCUUGAAAUACUAUCAGAUAAUAAGAGAGUUUAAUAAUCGUAUCAUUGAAGGUAGACCAGGAAAGGCACUUAGUAUUUUAAAAAUAGUUUUCAACGUCUGAUUGAAAUGGUAGUACCAUUUUUGGCGUUAAGACAAAAAAUAUGAGUGAUACAGUUUCAAAUGAGAAUAAUUCCAAAGUCAAAAAAGGAAAUUUUGAAAUGGAAAUUUUUUGAAAAUUUUGAAGGAAAAAUGUAUGCUAAAUUCUAAAAAUGCAUAUCUGAAAUGCAACUAAAAUAAAUUUCCGGUCAUUAUGGAAAAGACAAAAAAUUUAGUCAUCUCUGCUUGAGCCAGUUCUUUUUACAACCAGUGAAAGCCUACUUGUCAAUGAUUUAUUUUGUUCCUAACAGUUCAAAAUCUCGCAGUAUUAUUACUGAUAAAAGAAAGAAAUAAUGACAUUGUUUACUUUAUUACAUGUUUUUAACAGUUUAAGCUGUUUGUUUGUUGUUUUUGAACUGUCUGUUAAACACUUUCAAAGGUUAUACAGUGUUCUCUGACUUGGUUCAAUGCAUUUGCAGUAAGUUUAUCUAUCUUUGUCUCUUCUAAACUAAUUUUUAGUUUUGUAAAUAGCUGUAACAAUGAAUGUGCUUUUCAAAAUUUAAACAUUUCUCUGUCAAAUAAAAAUAGAUCAUGUUAUCAAA